CAGGUCAACUGGCAUCAAAUAGUUUGCAACUUUUCAUCAGCAGACAUUUUCUACCAUGAAAAUCCAAUAACUAAAAAUUUUCACGCUGCAAAUGAUGGUUGUUUAUCUACUGUUUUACAUUUAAUUUCCCUUCCUUAAUAAUAACACAACAUACCAAAUGCAAGCGUCAAAUAAUUUCAAGUUUAAGAUCUGGAUAGCCAACUCGUGCUUUGUGCCUCUCAAAGAGAUCUUUAAGUGCUGCAAUGAACUGAUUUUGUAUUUCCACAACCUCUUCCAUAGUAGGCUGUGGAUUUUUCUUCAGCUCAAUUGGUCUACCCACCACAACAUGAACCGGAUGUUGGUAGGGAAAUGGAGAUCCGAGAAUCCCCCAGAAGAAAAUUGGGGCAAACUUAAUAGUUCUUGCAAGUUUCAUGAAUAAGUUUCCACCAGGUCUCCACCAGUUGAACACAAGUGAUUGACCAAAGCAGACAACUGGAACCAAUGGUUUGCCUGUCUCCAUAGCUAUUCGAAUAAAUCCUCUUCUCGAUUUAAGAAAAGCAAUCUCAGUUCCAUGCUUCAUAUAACAUGUCUCUUGAACUCCACCAGGCCCAAGACACAACUAUAACCAGCUUCCAGAAGGGAUGUAAAAUUUUCCUUCGUUGCAGGUGUAACACCACACCAUGUCCAUACAUGUCUCAAAAAUGGAGUGAUG
rnacentral:misc_RNA from 1 species